UAUUUAAUCAGGGAGAAGAAGGUACUUCUUGGUACAUUAUCCUAAAGGGAUCUGUAAACGUAGUCAUUUAUGGCAAGGGUGUGGUAUGUACUCUACAUGAAGGAGAUGAUUUUGGCAAGCUAGCACUUGUGAAUGAUGCUCCCAGAGCAGCAUCUAUUGUUUUACGUGAAGACAACUGCCACUUCUUGAGAGUAGACAAAGAGGACUUCAACAGGAUCCUUAGGGAUGUGGAAGCAAAUACUGUAAGGCUCAAAGAACAUGACCAGGAUGUCUUGGUGUUGGAGAAGAUCCCAGCAGGAAACAGAGUUUCUAAUCAAGGAAAUUCACAGCCUCAGCACAAGUAUGUUAGC